rnacentral:rRNA from 1 species
UACGUAGGUGGCAAGCGUUAUCCGGAAUCAUUGGGUUUAAAGGGUCCGUAGGCGGUUUUGUAAGUCAGUGGUGAAAGCCCAUCGCUCAACGGUGGAACGGCCAUUGAUACUGCAAGACUUGAAUUAUUGUGAAGUAACUAGAAUAUGUAGUGUAGCGGUGAAAUGCUUAGAGAUUACAUGGAAUACCAAUUGCGAAGGCAGGUUACUAACAAUAUAUUGACGCUGAUGGACGAAAGCGUGGGUAGCGAACAGG